GAAUUCUAAGAUCGAUGUCCCAGGAGAUUUAGUGUCUGGACCAACCAGAGAAUUCAAAUAUGUUUAUCAAAUCAAUUACCUUGGAUGACCAACUUCUACAUGACCUGCCUUCAGCUUCUCCAUGUCAGUCACCUACAAUCAGGGCAUACCUGAGGCCAUUUGAUUUUUUCUACCGUAAAUAUUUUCUACCUUCCUGCCUGCUUUCAAGUCUCUGAAAAAUUAUGCCUGGAGAAUACACCAAGAUGCCAUCGGUGUUAUAUUCUACCAUGGAACCUGGUUAUCAACUGGGAUGUGGUACACAUGCAGGCACCCUUUGACUUGUUCCUCACAGCUUGAUGAGUCUUGAUUUUCAUGAUAAGUCAGCACCAGAUCUAAACUUCACUCUGUUUGCAUGAAGUUCCUUGGCUACUUAUUCUUUUCUCACUGCUAUAAAGGAAUACCUGAGACUGGGUAAUAUAUAAAGAAAAGAAGUUUAAUUGACUCACAGUUCCACACUGCUGGGGAGGCCUCAGGAAACCCACAAUCACGGCAGAAGGCAAAGGCACAUCUUACAUUGCGGCAGAAGAGAGUGAAUGAGGAAGUGCCACACUUUAAAACCAUCAGCUUUCAUGAGAACUUACUCAUUAUCAUGAGAACAGCAUAGAGGGAACUGUCUCCAUGAUCCAAUCACUUCACACCAGGUCCCUCCCUCAACAUGUAGGGAUCACAAUUCCAGAUGAAAUUUGCGUGGGGGCACAACCAAACCUUAUCACCAGAGUUUUGUUAUUGGUUUCCAUUUGUUUAGCAUUGGUGGUGGAGGAAAGACAUUUCUUCUUGGCACUUUUUGCUCUGUUUCAUUCUUCCAUUUUGUUUUGUGCUAUGUAAAAGUGUUGCUUUCCAUACAAAGAUUAAUGAGGCAGAACUAAGGCAUUAGCAUUAUUAGCCUGUUGGCAUAGGCCUCACAAACCAUUGAGUUCUCUAUUCUCACCACACAGAUGUCCACUUGGAUAACUUUGCUGUUUGUCACCAAUAAAGCUGGA
rnacentral:lncRNA from 1 species